GAUUGGUUGGAACAGAAGCCUACACUCACACCGGCCCUUUCUGUGUGCGAUUGAGUAUCCCUGCCCUGUGUGCAGGUGAUUUUAUGAGGUAAAGCAGCUCUUGGGAGUUUGCGUUCAGUGCUGAAGGUUCAGCUGUAGAGUAACACCAGCAGCAGGGCAGUGGUACCUGCCGUAGCCUGCACCUGCACUGCGGGCCACAUGACAUAAAAAGAAUCAGAAUGGCUAACAGCAGAUACCUGAUCAGUGUUCAUACUCUUGGUCCCUGAGAUUCCAUGUCUUUGUGGGAGGGAUGAAGAAGCCGAGCCACCCUCGAUGGGCCAGAGUAUAAACUGGAGCCUUCUCACCGUGUCAGGACGGCAUAUUCUUCAGUGACUAUAGUCGAGCUGAAGAAAUAUAAAGAACUAAGGCUGGAAGCUUUGUUACCAUAGAGACUGCCAGCAUCUCACGGUUGCCAAGGAGCUGAACCUUCUGUUCCACCAAUGAGCCGUGGGUAUGGCCCAAAGCAAGUCCUUCCAAGAUCUGUGAAUAAAGGCACUUAAGAUCAGGCUACAGUGACUG